AUUGUAAUGUAGCUGCCAUUGGUGUACAUUGGUAACGGUUACAAGCCCGUAUUAAUACAGAGUACAAU
rnacentral:ribozyme from 2 species